GGAAGUUUCCAGGUGUUGUACCUGCCUGUGGCCGAGAGCCACACCCCAGUUGUUAUUGUUCUUACACGCUGGAUUUUAUCAGCUUCCAGUAUUACUGUUUGACCUGAAAACUUUAUGAUAUCAGAUUUGUUUGGGCUAGUAAAUCAUUCUGUGACUCCGGGUCAGGCAGCAGAAAGGGCUGUUGAACCAAAUCUCGUCUCCUGAGUUUUAACUUGUGGCACUGCGAGCUUCCCCAAAGAUCAACACACAACACACUGCCUGAAAACUGGUCUGACGAGCACCUCUGCAGCAGGAGGUGGUAGGCUGACAUGGUGAUUAGAAGAAGGGAGGGAAGGGAAGACUGAAACUGAAUGCUUUCAAGUCCUACCAGCCAGCCACACUAAGAGAGAUGAGGCUUUCUCCUGGCAACACUUCCAUACAAGCCAUACUUGCCCAGUCCUUUUCUCAGCCACCAAGUGGUAGGCAACAAAAAAGUGACAGAGUGGGGUGGAUACUGAGGCGUAAACAAACGUCACCAACUUUCUGCAGAGUCAGUUG